rnacentral:sRNA from 1 species
AGCAGCCGCGGUAAUUCCAGCUCCAAUAGCGUAUAUUAAAGUUGUUGCAGUUAAAAAGCUCGUAGUUGAAUUUCGGGGUUAGUAGGUUGGUCAUGCCUCUGGUAUGUACUGGUCUCACUGAUUCCUCCUUCCUGAUGAACCUUAAUGCCAUUUAUUUGGUGUUUUGGGGAAUUUGGACUGUUACUUUGAAAAAAUUAGAGUGUUUAAAGCAAGCUAACGCUUGAAUACAUUAGCAUGGAAUAAUGAAAUAGGACGUUCGAUCCUAUUUUGUUGGUUUCUAGGAUUGACGUAAUGAUUAAUAGGGAUAGUUGGGGGCAUUAGUAUUCAAUUGUCAGAGGUGAAAUUCUUGGAUUUAUUGAAGACUAACUACUGCGAAAGCAUUUGCCAAGGAUGUUUUCAUUAAUCAAGAACGAAAGUUAGGGGAUCGAAGACGAUCAGAUACCGUCGUAGUCUUAACCAUAAACUAUGCCG